UCCACCUCCAGAAGCAUUGCAGUUGUGGCUGUGGUGUCACAUGUGUGUCAGGAGGUGGCAGAGAGGUAGCUAUGUCUAUGCUCAGUGUUCUCACCUGUGAACAUUUGAAUGUUUCAGCCUAACAUC
rnacentral:snoRNA from 1 species